rnacentral:rRNA from 1 species
AUGAACGCUAGCGGCAGGCCUAACACAUGCAAGUCGAGGGGCAGCACAGGUAGCAAUACUGGGUGGCGACCGGCGGAUGGGUGCGUAACGCGUAUGCAACCUACCAUUGAUUGGGACAUAGCCCGAAGAAAUUCGGAUUAAUACUCCAUAAUAUUCAUCAAAGGCAUCUUUUAUGAAUUAAAGCUUUUGCGAUCAAUGAUGGGCAUGCGUGACAUUAGUUAGUUGGUGAGGUAACGGCUCACCAAAACGAUGAUGUCUAGGGGUUCUGAGAGGAUUAUCCCCCACACUGGUACUGAGACACGGACCAGACUCCUACGGGAGGCAGCAGUGAGGAAUAUUGGUCAAUGGACGCAAGUCUGAACCAGCCAUGCCGCGUGCAGGAUGACGGCCCUAUGGGUUGUAAACUGCUUUUCCACGGGAAGAACCCUCCGACGUGUCGGAGACUGACGGUACCGUGGGAAUAAGCAUCGGCUAACUCCGUG